rnacentral:rRNA from 1 species
CCUACGGUGGGCUGCAGUGGGGAAUCUUCCGCAAUGGGCGAAAGCCUGACGGAGCAACGCCGCGUGAUCGAAUGAAGGCCUUCGGGUUGUAAAGAUCUGUUGACAGGGACGAAUAAGCAAUGCAAAUCGUUUUGUGUAUGACGGUCCCCGUUUAGAAAGCCCCGGCUAACUACGUGCCAGCAGCCGUGGCAAUACGUAGGGAGAAUGCGUUGUCCGUAAGUACUGGGCGUAAAGGGCGCGUAGGUGGGCGCGUAAGUCAGGUGGGAAAACUCCGGGCUCAACCUGGGGACUGCACUUGAAACUGGGUGUCUUGAGGGCAGGAGAGGAAAGUGGAAUUCCUAGUGUAGCGGUGAAAUGCGUAGAUAUUAGGAGGAACACCAGUGGCGAAGGCGACUUUCUGGACUGUAACUGACGCUGAGGCGCGAAAGCGUGGGUAGCGAACGGGAUUAGAUACCCCAGUAGUC